UCCACGGGAGGCAGCAGUGGGGAAUAUUGCGCAAUGGGGGAAACCCUGACGCAGCGACGCCGUGUGAGGGAAGAAGGCUUUCGGGUCGUAAACCUCUGUCAGAAAGGAAGAACCUCCCAAGUCCGAAUAGGGCUUGGGACUGACGGUACUUUCAAAGGAAGCACCGGCUAACUCCGUGCCAGCAGCCGCGGUA
rnacentral:rRNA from 1 species